rnacentral:lncRNA from 1 species
GGCCUUCACUGGAUUUAACCGGAUAGCCGGUUCUGUAAAUCCGGAAAUCCGGAUUCGAGCUGCACUUUGGCAGCAUUCUGGAUUCAUUCGGCCAACCGGUUAAGGAAACCGGUAAGCCGGUUUUAACGUGCUAUCUUCUGGAUCCAACCGGCAAGCCGGUUUGUGAUAUCCGGAAAACCGGAUUCGAGUGAAGGACUUGCUGGAA